rnacentral:rRNA from 1 species
UACGUAGGGGGGCAAGCGUUGUCCGGAUUUAUUGGGCGUAAAGAGCGUGUAGGCGGCCAUUCAAGUCGGAGGUGAAAGCCCAGGGCUCAACCCUGGAAUUGCCUUCGAUACUGUUUGGCUAGAGACCGGAAGAGGUAAGUGGAACUGCGAGUGUAGAGGUGAAAUUCGUAGAUAUUCGCAAGAACACCAGUGGCGAAGGCGGCUCACUGGCCCGAUACUGACGCUGAGGCACGAAAGCGUGGGGAGCAAACAGG